CAGUGUUCCCAUGUCUCCCCCAGUGUCCCCAUGUCACUAUACAUUGGGACACUAUGAGACAUUGGGAAACAGACACCUGGGGACACUGAGAGACCUGGAAACACUGGGUGACUGAGACAUGGGGCUCUGACACUAAGACACUACAGACACUGAGAGACACCAGGGACACUGGAAGACACGGGGCACGGAGACACUGUGAUACAUAGGGGACACUGGAGACUUG